rnacentral:rRNA from 1 species
CCUACGGGUGGCAGCAGUGAGGAAUAUUGGUCAAUGGACGCAAGUCUGAACCAGCCAAGUAGCGUGCAGGAUGACGGCCCUACGGGUUGUAAACUGCUUUUAGUUGGGAAUAAAAUGGGGCUCGUGAGCCCCGUAUUGUAUGUACCAUCAGAAAAAGGACCGGCUAAUUCCGUGCAAGCAGCCGCGGUAAUACGGAAGGUCCGGGCGUUAUCCGGAUUUAUUGGUUUUAAAGGGAGCGUAGGCCGGCUUUUAAGUCAGGUGUGAAACUCCGGGGCUCAACCGGGGAAUUGCAGUUGAAACUGGAUGCCUUGAGUGCACACAGGGAUGCCGGAAUUCAUGGUGUAGCGGUGAAAUGCUUAGAUAUCAUGAAGAACUCCGAUCGCGAAGGCAGGUGUCCGGGGUGCAACUGACGCUGAGGCUCGAAAGUGCGGGUAUCAAACAGGAUUAGAUACCCUUGUAGUC